GACGAACGCUGGCGGCGUGCCUAACACAUGCAAGUCGAGCGAUGAAAUUAGAAACGGAGUCUUCGGACGAAGUGGAAAAUGGAUUAGCGGCGGACGGGUGAGUAACACGUGAGCAACCUGCCUAUCACAUUGGGAUAGCCUCGGGAAACUGGGAUUAAUACCGAAUGAAACAUAAUCACUGCCUAGUGGAAAUGUCAAAGAUUUAUCGGUGAUAGAUGGGCUCGCGUCUGAUUAGCUAGUUGGUGAGGUAAUGGCUCACCAAGGCGACGAAUCAGUAGCCGGCCUGAGAGGGUGAACGGCCACAUUGGGACUGAGACACGGCCCAAACUCCUACGGGAGGCAGCAGUGGGGAAUAUUGCACGAAUGGAGGGAACUCUGAUGCAGCGACGCCGCGUGAGCGAUGAAGGCUUUCGAGUCGUAAAGCUCUGUCGAAUGGGAAGAUAAUGACGGUACCAUUUGAGAAAGCCCCGGCUAACUACGUGUC
rnacentral:rRNA from 1 species